AGUUAGUAAGUUGACAACAAAUGUAUAUACAUGGCAUUUAGGCAACCUUUAUUGCAUCGUUGGCACAACAAGAUGUCCAGACUAGUGCAACAGUAAUUUUGUUUUUUUUGCGUCCUGCAUAUGCGUCGACAAUCUUAGGGGAGAGCAGAGA